UAGUCCACGCUGUAAACGAUGAGUGCAAGGUGUUGGGGGUCAAACCUCGGUGCCGCCGUUAACACAGUAAGCACUCCGCCUGGGGAGUACGUACGCAAGUAUGAAACUCAAAGGAAUUGACGGGGACCCGCACAAGUAGCGGAGCAUGUGGUUUAAUUCGAUGCAACGCGAAAAACCUUACCAGGGCUUGACAUAAAAGUGACAAGGGAUAGAGAUAUUCCUCUUCUCUUCGGAGACAGUUUUAC
rnacentral:rRNA from 1 species